ensembl:lncRNA
GGGGACCGGUAGAGGAGUCCAACGAGGGUUGUAGAGUGGCCAGACAAAUAAUAAGAAAUAGAAAGAGCAGUUUCCUCCUCCACGAGACGGAGAUAAGCGCAGAGCUGAUCUCCCGGGAUUAAAUGAGUGACUGUGCAAAGUACCAGAAGAGUGUGCGUCAGCCCAGAGGAAGCGUAAUGUGGAUGUCAGCUGCUGGCGGUCCACAGCAGGCCCAGGGGCUGAGGCAGGAGGCCGACGCUGUGCCGGCCGGCAGCCACGUGGCAGGGGACAUGGCAGCAGAGGGGGCCCUGCCCACCUGCGGGAAAGGGAGUCCAGACCGGAGGAGACAAUUUCCAGGAGAGAUUUGAAGCAUGAGUAGGAGUUUUCCAGGCAGAGGAGGAGGCAGGCUUUGAGCAUGGUGGGUGCACAAUAAAUGUUUAAAUGAUGCCAAAUAAGUGGAGAGCGAUUCAAAUGCUUAAACCUGUGGGAUUAACUAGAUGCUGGAGGGCUGUG